rnacentral:rRNA from 1 species
UAAUACGGAGGGUGCAAGCGUUAAUCGGAAUUACUGGGCGUAAAGCGCACGCAGGCGGUUUGUUAAGUCAGAUGUGAAAUCCCCGGGCUCAACCUGGGAACUGCAUUUGAAACUGGCAAGCUAGAGUCUCGUAGAGGGGGGUAGAAUUCCAGGUGUAGCGGUGAAAUGCGUAGAGAUCUGGAGGAAUACCGGUGGCGAAGGCGGCCCCCUGGACGAAGACUGACGCUCAGGGGCGAAAGCGUGGGGAGCAAACAGGAUUAGAUACCCUGGUAGUCCACGCUGUAAACGAUGUCGAUUUGGAGGUUGUGCCCUUGAGGCGUGGCUUCCGGAGCUAACGCGUUAAAUCGACCGCCUGGGGAGUACGGCCGCAAGGUUA